rnacentral:lncRNA from 1 species
UUCUCCAUCCUCUCUCCAUCCCUUUUCCACGGCAUGCCUGGGCCAACUUAUAUGUGAAACAUUCAGCACGCAGUCACCAGGAUGUUCUUACUGUCAUUUGGAAUGAGAAGGACAAGAUAUCAGUGUCAUCUUCUCUGAAGAUUGGAAGACACCGGACAAGCUACAGAGCCACUGUUGCCCACCCCUUUAAUUACACUCUGAAGCAACUGGAGGUGCAUUCCCUGUCAGAAAGAAGGGGCAGAAAGUACAACCAGCAGCUUCAGGUCUCAGGGAAUGCUGGGCAGCCUGCUCACCUCUGGCUGGGGCUGGAGGAUAAAUCCAAGAUGGACAUCACUGCCUGGGUUGGCUGUGUGACACUGUCUGCAGGCCAGCUUCAGAGAAUGUUAAGCAUGGAACACCUGCAUGCAUGUGGGUCUCUAGAGCAAAGACCAACAUUGUUUAAUGAAUACCUAGAUCUGAACUGGGAUGACAAAAAAUUCAAACACAAUUUUACAUAUGAGAGAAAUCAGCUCUUGUAUCCUGAUAAGUUUCAGUUAGAAGCUGUUCUGGAAAAUAUUUUCCUGACCCCAUGUGCCAAACAGCAAAUUCUGGGUAAAAUAGAAACAAACUACUACUCUUGCCUGGAUUACUAUACAAGCUUUCAGUUCUGUGACCUUCCAAACGUAAUUGUUUUAUCUGGAAAGCACCAGCUCAACAAAGAUGACAUCAUUUUGCAGUCAGAGGGCAGAUUCCACCUUGCUGAUCAUGGGAGGGAUGAGGGGUUGAUUGGAAUAUCCAUAAAGAAUCAGAGUACUGCUGAUGUGAAGAACUAUUCUCUGGAAAUUGAAUUAAGAGCCUUUGAAGAUAUUUGGCUAGGCCUGACAGGAACUGCUGCUUCCUCAUCUGUCCAGAGCCAAAUCCUGGUGGAGGGGAUUAUUGAUCAGAAACAGAAAGUAAAAGUAGCUGCUUCCAAAGGAAAGGAGUGUUUUCAGUACUACAUGGGGUAUCUGCAAGGGGAUUUGGAAGAAGGAAUGGAAGUCAGUGCUUGUUCUGAUGGGAAACACAUGGCUGCCAUUAACACCUAUUUCAGCUUAAAUGGUAGAAGGCA